GCAUUACUACUGCUAUAAGGCUCCAGCUAGUGAGACCUCAGUGAAGAAAAUUUCGUACUAGACACUGAUCCAGAAAGACUGCCUCAACUGCUAGAACUAAUCAACUUGAAAUUAUAUUAGAUGAGCUCAACCACAAUUUAAG